rnacentral:rRNA from 1 species
AUUGAACGCUGGCGGCAGGCCUAACACAUGCAAGUCGAGCGGAUGAGAGGAGCUUGCUUCUCGAUUCAGCGGCGGACGGGUGAGUAAUGCCUAGGAAUCUGCCUGGUAGUGGGGGACAACGUUUCGAAAGGAACGCUAAUACCGCAUACGUCCUACGGGAGAAAGCAGGGGACCUUCGGGCCUUGCGCUAUCAGAUGAGCCUAGGUCGGAUUAGCUAGUUGGUGAGGUAAUGGCUCACCAAGGCGACGAUCCGUAACUGGUCUGAGAGGAUGACCAGUCACACUGGAACUGAGACACGGUCCGGACUCCUACGGGGGGCAGCCGUGGGGAAUAUUGGACAAUGGGGGAAAGCCUGAUCCAGCCAUGCCGCGUGUGUGAAGAAGGUCUUCGGAUUGUAAAGCACUUUAAGUUGGGAGGAAGGGUUGUAGAUUAAUACUCUGCAAUUUUGACGUUACCGACAGAAUAAGCACCGGCUAACUCUGUGCCAGCCGCCGCCGUAA